rnacentral:rRNA from 1 species
AGAGUUUGAUCCUGGCUCAGGAUGAACGCUAGCGGCAGGCUUAAUACAUGCAAGUCGUGGGGCAGCAGGACUGUAGCAAUACAGUUGCUGGCGACCGGCAAACGGGUGCGGAACACGUACGCAAUCUACCCAAAACUGGUGAAUAGCCUUCCGAAAGGAAGAUUAAUACACCGUAACCUAAUUGUAGUGGCAUCACUAUAUUAGUAUAGCUCCGGCGGUUUUGGAUGAGCGUGCGGCUGAUUAGAUAGUUGGUGUGGGUAACGGCCCACCAAGUCUGCGAUCAGUAACUGGUGUGAGAGCACGACCAGUCACACGGGCACUGAGACACGGGCCCGACUCCUACGGGAGGCAGCAGUAAGGAAUAUUGGUCAAUGGACGCAAGUCUGAACCAGCCAUGCCGCGUGAAGGAUGAAGGUCCUCUGGAUUGUAAACUUCUUUUAUAGGGGACGAAACCUCUUUUUCUAAAGAGACUGACGGUACCCUAGGAAUAAGCACCGGCUAACUCCGUGCCAGCAGCCGCGGUAAUACGGAGGGUGCAAGCGUUAUCCGGAUUCACUGGGUUUAAAGGGUGCGUAGGAGGGCAGGUAAGUCAGUGGUGAAAUCUCUGGGCUCAACCCGGAAACUGCCGUUGAUACUAUCUGUCUUGAAUACUGUGGAGGUGAGCGGAAUAUGUCAUGUAGCGGUGAAAUGCUUAGAUAUGACAUAGAACACCAAUUGCGAAGGCAGCUCACUACACAUAUAUUGACUCUGAGGCACGAAAGCGUGGGGAUCAAACAGGAUUAGAUACCCUAGUAGUCC